UACGGGGGGGGCAAGCGUUGUUCGGAAUUACUGGGCGUAAAGGGCUCGUAGGCGGCCAACUAAGUCAGACGUGAAAUCCCUCGGCUUAACCGGGGAACUGCGUCUGAUACUGGAUGGCCUGAGUUCGGGAGAGGGAUGCGGAAUUCCAGGUGUAGCGGUGAAAUGCGUAGAUAUCUGGAGGAACACCGGUGGCGAAGGCGGCAUCCUGGACCGACACUGACGCUGAGGAGCGAAAGCCAGGGGAGCAAACGGG
rnacentral:rRNA from 1 species